UUAUGAAUACAUCAGAGCCAUGUUUUGAGUGUAUGGAAUUGAAUAGAAUGAGUUUCACACCGGUUGUGGGUUUUGUGGGUACAAGUGUUCACAGUAUUGCACUUCCAUUUAAAUAUAUUUUUAUAGCGAUUCAGCACUUUAACUAUAUGACAGCCAUAUGACAAAUCAUUCCCAGCCAUGAAAGAAAAUAUGUGCUGGGACAUAAAUGUUGGGAGGCUAACGGUGAAAACUUCAAACACAUAGCUCUUGUAAUGGUUGCCACUGGAGAUACUGUUAAAUCUCUCAGAUCAUUUGGCUUCAUUUUAUAUGCCAUGUGCGAAGCAUAAUAUACCUAUUACCUUGUGCCUUUACUCAACAUGUGGCCUCACACAGGCAUUGCCCCAAUGACCUUACAAUCUAAUAUUGACAGAUACAAACAAGGAUUAGGUGUAAGGGAGGUUAUGAUGUUUUACAUGUAGGAAAUAGAUAUAAUUUCAGCUAUUUACCUGCCCCAGUCAUUGCUGUUUUCAGUGUGGACUGUGAUUUGUUGGUUAAAGAAGGGAACUAUAAAAUGGGGGCCCUGGGUUCUAUUUCUACUUCUCUUGCAUGUAACACUAUUAGGAGACAUCAGAUGGCACUGUUAUAGAUAGUAGUACAAGUUUUAUUAAUCUGAACAUACAGAAUUUAGACCGUGAUGAAAUGCCUAUUGUCAGAUGUGGUACAAUUUUCCUUUCUAGUGAUAUGCUCAGAACAGAUUUUAGGAGCUGCUUUAAUGUCUCUUUAAGUCAGAAUCACUUUCUUAGCCUAUAUGCAGAAACUACACUUAUGUCCACAUACAUAACUGAAACAUUACAGUCCUCAAAAAUUACAUCACUGGCUUGCUAUGUGACCUAGUCCAAGCCCUUGUAGCCUCUCUCUGUCUUUUGUUACCCUUCUGUAAUACAGGGAUACCUACCUAACUACCUCAUAAUGGUGUUGUGAUGUUUACUUAAUGUGUCUUAAAGCUUUGUGCAACCUUUGGAUGAAAUGAUGGUUGUUCAAAUAUGUCUCUGUGUGCUCCACUUCAGGUGCACAUGUGCCCCAUACACCUUCGAUCAGAGAUUUUUGCUAGCAGCGUCCUUUGAGCCCUCACGUGCCCUACACAGUCUUGUGCCCCACCCUCAGGCUAUGUGGCAAACCACUCUGUUCCUUUACAACUCCUGUGGCUUGAGAUGGAGCUUUAGUGUGUCUGCUUUGAGCCUGCCUCAGCUAAAAGUUUUUUUUUUCUCCUGGUUGUAGUUUAGUUUUAAUUAGCUAAAUUGAGUCAAUCCAUUUUAUUCCUCUCCCCUCCCUCUGGGAGUCUUGCCUUCAUUGGAAGGGCAUACUCAGCUCACUGGGGUUGAAAUGCUACCUCGCUUGCUGGAAGCUAUCCCAAUUAGUGACACCUACCCCAAGUGCAUUUGCUGCCUUAGAGAGUCACACAUUCCUCAGAAGUGUAAUUUAUGUCUGGCCCUUAAAUCCAAAGCAAGGAAAAACUGGGAGAUUAAGGCUACUAAUGAUGGAGCACUUCCUUAAGCUCACUUCAGAGCUAGGUGAGGAGAACUGCCCUGAACACUGGUCUCUGGGCAGAUCCAAUAUCUCUUUGACCUUGGCUCACCUCUCCCUGGUAAGGGAAAGACUCAAGAGACCUCAUAAGAAGAGGAGCUCUGACUCACUUCCUAAGGAACCUCCUCCUAAAAGACCACUCACAAGCUUAAAUGUCUCAGCUUGAACGUCUACCAAGACCCGCUCGAUCACCAGACUCCCAUCUAUCUCUGGUACUGCCUGAUUCACCACCCUUUUUGGCUAGCGCUCCUCCACUGGACGACACAUUUAGGGGACAAUGUUAGAGAGCUCCUUUUGGUCUCUUCUAUCUCAAUGCAGGGCUCUCCUACCUGUCCAUACAGGAAGCCACUCUUUGAUACCUGCAGAGGGAAACAAUACUUUUGGGAAAGACAUCAUAAGUAGAGGGACUAGCCUUAGAUGCCACCUCCUCUCCCAUAUGGCCCCCCACAAUGGCUAUACUGGGACCCCGGGUGGCAUACAGACAAGUUUCCAAGGUUCCAAGUCUUGCCCACCUAGAAAAGAGAGAGACACACAAUCCCCCUUCACCCUGGCCCAUUCCUCAGGAUGAGAUAUUUGAGGAGCAGGAUCCAGGGCAGAUAAAGAGGCUACCACUCUAACUUCUAUAUCCUUGUCAUCUCCAUAUAAGGGUGGUUAUGCCUCCACCACUGUUUGUGGCCGAUAAUUUCCAGCAAUUUCAGUCCACAUAAAAGAGGUGGCAAAUGAUCUGCAGAUACCACUUGAAGAGUCAAAGAAUCACAACAUAAGCUGCUGUACAUUCUGCAGCUGGCAACACGGCCCAGAGUUGUGUUACCUAUCAAUGAGGUACUUUUGGAUCCAGCAAAGCCAGUUUUUGGCAGACCCCAGCAACAAUACCGCCAAGUUAUAAACACGCAGAUAAAAAUAUUAUGUCCCCACCUAGGACUCCAAAUUUUUAUUCUCUCACAGCCCCCCUCUUUCCCCCCCCACACCUAAUUCUUUGGUGGUGGAUGAAUAAGGGAAGCAACCCACACCAAGGUGACCCUGUGUGAGAAAGACCAGGAGCAUUUGAACCUAUUUGGAUGAAAGUCCUACUCAUCUGCAACCCUAUAGUUUCAGAGUGAAAUACAAGGAGAUCAUGGCAAAAUGUAAUUACACAAGUUAGACAAAAUUUACUGCUUUUAUUGAGCACCUUCCAUUGGUGCAAAGAGAGCAAUUUCAGGCCAUCAUUGCUUAGGGACAAUUACUGGCCUGGACAUCCCUUCAAGCAGCCCUAGAUGCAGCAGACACCUUAGCAUAUUCCAUCUCUAUGGCAACAGCAGUUUUGCACAGGGUGUCCUGGCUCCAACUGUCCAGCUUUCCAAGAGAGGUCCAGAGCACUGUAGAGGACCCUUUGAUGGUCUGAAGUUGUCUUAAGAGGCAACAGAUAUGACCCUGUGUGCUUUGAAAGACUCCAUGGCCACAUUAUGAUAUCUGGGAAUUUACACCCCUAUGAACAAAAGAAAAUUCCUGUAUGGUUCAAUUCUCUGGGUUCCAAAGACCACUGAGCCCCCCAGAAAGAAACAUAGAUUCCAGAGAGAGAGAGAAUCGCUCAUCCACCUGGCCCAAAUACUCAGCUGGCAUCAAAACACCAGUUUUGAUGAGUUGCUCAAGGAUUUGAAUCUUCCCCAUUCUUUAUCUGAGAUCUGCAGAGCUGUUACACCAUCUUCAAUACAUACCUUCUCCAAGCACUGUGUCUUGGUCCAUGCCUCUAGAUCUGAUGUGGCAGUUGGCAGUGUGGUUCUGUCUUCAGUUCCGGACCCAAUUCUGAAGCUUACUCCUCCCUGAGAAGAUACUGCUUUGGAGUUAUCUGAAGUGGAGCACCCAGAGUGACACUGUGACCCCUAAGUAUACCUAUAUUCACACCCUCCACACUAUUGUAUUAAUCUUUGCACCAAAUUUGCCUAGUGUGGUGUCAUUUGAAAACUAAUAAUAUCUUGGUCAAUAAGAUGGUGAAAUGUAAGUAGCAACAUUAUAUGUAAAGUUAUGAACUCCCCUGUAUGAUGAUACUAGCACAUGUUCAAAACCAGAUAGCUUUGCCUAGGUAAAGGUGCGAAACAGGUCUAUCCUAAACAAAGGAAUGUAGGUUUGCCUUAAUUUGCAUAUUAGCAGUAAACAGGGCCAUAAAACUAGCAAGGGGAGGAGAUGGCAAGAAACAGAACAAUUUGCAUUUUAGCAAACACCAGUGGGGCGGGGAGGGAAGGAGAGGAACAGCAUGGAGCUUCCUUCAACAUCAGACUCCAUGUCGCCUUUUGCACAGCUUGAAUAAACUUUACUUUGAGGGGUAACCUUCAGAAGAAUCCAUUUCAAAGGUUCACUGGGCUAUGAAAGAAAGGGGCAGAGAACCCCAAGUUCUCUCUUUCACCUAGGAAGACAAAGGAACCAGCACUUUGGACUUCUGGAGGAGAUCCUGAAUGAGAGGGUAGUCAGCCAUCUGGCUGGGGUACCGUGGGUGAGAAAAGUCAUCUUGAACAAAGCCUGUACCUUGCUAAAUUAAGUUUUAGACUCCUAGAUGUGUGUUUUCAUUUUUAUUUGCUUGUAACCAUUUCUAACUUUAUCUUUUAUACUUGAACUUGCUUAAAAUCCUUUCUUCUUUUGUUAAUAAACUUGUUUUACUUUUAAUCUAAA